rnacentral:rRNA from 1 species
GAUGAACGCUAGCGGCAGGCCUAAUACAUGCAAGACGAACGGUAAGCUUUGUAGCAAUACGGAGCCUAGAGUGUCGUAAGGGUGCGUAACACGUAUGCAAUCUACCCUGUACAGGAGUAUAGCUCCCCGAAAGGGGAAUUAACCCUCCAUAAUAUGACGAACCGGCAUCGGUUUGUUAUUAAAACUGAGGUGGUACAGGAUGAGGAUGCGUCUGAUUAGCUAGUUGGUAGUGUAAUGGACUACCAAGGCAAUGAUCAGUAGGGGAACUGAGAGGUUGAUCCCCCACACUGGCAAUGAGAUACGGGACAGACUCCUCUGGGAGGCAGCAGUAGGGAAUAUUGGACAAUGGGUGAGAGCCUGAUCCAGCCAUGCCGCGUGCAGGAAGAAGGCCUUCUGGGUUGUAAACUGCUUUUAUCUGGGGAUAAAAAGGCCUUGCGAGGCAAACUGAAGGUACCAGAUGAAUAAGCCACGGCUAACUACGUGCCAGCCGCCGCCGUAACAC